AUCAAAGACCAAAACUUAGUGAAAUUAUAAAAUAAAAUGUUAAAAUAUUUCUAAAAGUCUAUAUCCAGCUAGGGUUGUAGCUCAGUGUAGAGCAUUUGCUUGCCUAGCAUGCGUGAGCUACUGGGUUCAAUACUCAGCACUACAUAAAGAUAAACAAAUGAAAUAAAGGCAUUCUGUCCAUCUACAACUACAAAAAAUUUUUUUUUAAAUAAACUAAAAUAAAGUUGUGUUCAAAAGAAAAAGGCAUAUCAACAUUGUUGUAAGAAUCCCCUAAGUUUUGUGAGAAAACCAUAUUUGAGAAAAAUAUGUAUUUAAAAAUUUCAACAAAUUGAAUAAGAUUGAUAUUUUUACUAGUUGUGAGAGAAAAAUACAUUUUAAAAGAAAACAUUUCUUUCAAAACUUUAGCAAAAGAGUUUAAGAAAAAUCACUACCCUGACACUGAGGCUAAGGCUCCAAAUGGAGAGCUCGCCACCAGCCUGGGCGAUUUAGGGAGAACCUGUCACACAAUGAAGAAUAAAUAAAAAAGGCUGUGACCCGGUCAUACCUCAUCAGUCCUCAGAAACUUCGCCGUCUCAAACUGGGGGGUUAAGUGGAGAUGUGGCUAAGUGGUAUAGGACCCUUGGUUGAAAAAGACAGGCGGUACUGGAAUAUAGCUCAGAGGUAGCACGUGUAUAGGUUUUGUCCUCAGUUCACCCUACCCCCCAAAAGAGGCAAGAAAAUUGACAAAAAGAGUUUUAAAGUCCUUAGUCUACCAAGUGGCAAGUGUGUGGGAGCACACCUGUAAAUCCGGAAACUGAGGAAGGGCUGAAGGAGCAUGGCAAGAUUGAGGCCAAAUUUGAGAAUAUGACAAGACCCUCUCUCAAAAUAAAAAGGACUGUUGUUGUAACCCACAGAUAGAACCCUCUGGGAUUCAAUACCCAGUACCCCAUCUUCCUGCA
rnacentral:lncRNA from 1 species